GACGGACGCUGGCGGCGUGCUUAACACAUGCAAGUCGAGCGAUGAAGUUCCUUCGGGAAUGGACUAGCGGCGGACGGGUGAGUAACACGUGGGUAACCUGCCUCAUAGAGGGGAAUAGCCUUUCGAAAGGAAGAUUAAUGCCGCAUAAGAUUGUAGUAUCGCAUGAUACAGCAAUUAAAGGAGUAAUCCGCUAUGAGAUGGACCCGCGUCGCAUUAGCUAGUUGGUGAGGUAACGGCUCACCAAGGGGACGAGGCGGAGCCGACCGGAGAGGGGGAGCGGCGACAUUUGGAGGGCGGCACGGCCCAGCCACCUUAGGGGGGCAGCAGUGGGGAAUAUAGUACAAUAGGGGUAAGCGUGAUGCAGCAGCGCCGGGGGAGUGACGACGGCCUUCGGGUUGCAAACCUCUUUUAGUAGGGAAGAAGCGAAAGUGACGGUACCUGCAGAAAAAGCACCGGCUAACUACGGGCCAGCCGCCGCCGCAG
rnacentral:rRNA from 1 species